ensembl:lncRNA
GGGAGGUGGCAGGGUCACUGGUUUGUGUAUGUGUGUGUGUUUGUGUGUAUGUCUUUGCCCUCACGUCCACAGCCGUGCCCUCUGCCAUCUUCACUUCCUGUUCAACGACAAUCCACUUCCUGUUCAACAAUACGGCCGAGGAACGCGGGGGCCAUGGGAUUGUCUCCGUCUUUGAUAUGAGGAGCCACCCGAAAGGUCCUUGGACCGAGGUUGAUAUAUGUCAAUCAGACCCUCUUCACCUCCUCACCCCCCAUCCCCCCUUCCUCUCUGGGUAGAGCAGCAGUGACGGCGGCCGGUGGUGGUGGAGGUGGUGUUGCUGAGGUGGCGAUGGCGGCUGUCCUGUCCGCCUGACUCCCUCCCCAGGGCUGAUAACGCGGGCAGAAUAACAGACACUUCUGAGGAAGAUGGCUCUCAUACUCCAGGGCUGUUUUCCAAUUACUGCACAGCCUUUCUUCAUGGCCAG